GAUGAACGCUGGCGGCGUGCCUAAUACAUGCAAGUCGAGCGAACAGACGAGGAGCUUGCUCCUCUGACGUUAGCGGCGGACGGGUGAGUAACACGUGGAUAACCUACCUAUAAGACUGGGAUAACUUCGGGAAACCGGAGCUAAUACCGGAUAAUAUAUUGAACCGCAUGGUUCAAUAGUGAAAGACGGUUUUGCUGUCACUUAUAGAUGGAUCCGCGCCGCAUUAGAUAGUUGGUAAGGUAACGGCUUACCAAGGCAACGAUGCGUAGACGACCUGAGAGGGUGAUCGGCCACACUGGAACUGAGACACGGACCAGACUCCUACGGGAGGCAGCAGUAGGGAAUCUUCCGCAAAGGGCGAAAGCGUGACGGAGCAACGCCGAGUGAGUGAUGAAGGUCUUCGGAUCGUAAAACUCUGUUAUUAGGGAAGAAAAAAUGUGUAAGUAAAUAUGCACGUCUUGACGGUACCUAAUCAGAAAGCAACGGCUAACUACGUG
rnacentral:rRNA from 1 species